ensembl:lncRNA ERICH6-AS1 ERICH6 antisense RNA 1
CCUGCCUCAGCCUCCCGAGUAGCUGGGACUACAGGCACGUGCCACCACGCCUGGCUAAUUUUUUGCAUUUUCAGUAGAGAUGGGGUUUCACCGUGUUAGCCAGGAUGGUCUCGAUCUCCUGACCUCGUGAUCUGCCUGCCUCAGCCUCCCAAAGUGCUGGGAUUACAGGCGUGAGCCACAGUGCCUGGCCUGUAUUAUAUUUAUUUUGAGACAGGGUCUUACCCUGUCGCUCAGGCUGGAGUGCAGUGGUGCUAUCUCAGCUCACCGCAACCUCCUCCUCCCGGCUCAAGCUGAUCCUCCCGCCUCAGCCUCCCGAGUAUCUGGGACUACUUUUUGUAGAGAUGGCGUCUUGCUAUGUUGCCCAGGCUGGUCUCAAACUCUCGGUCUCAAGCUCCUGGGCUCAAGAGAUCCUCCCAUCUGGGCCUCCCAAAGUUCUUAGGAUUACAGACGUGAGCUACUGUGCCUGGCUAGGGAAUAUUUUUGAAAGUAGAGUUCUUGCAGGCUAAAGGAGCAGGCAGCACAGAUGAGAGGAGACAUCUGAGUUGCUUUAAAAGGAAGGGCAAAAUGUGGUGACCAGAGAGGAAAGUGAAAAGCUUUCCAGCAGGCUCACGGCAGGAAAGGAGGGUCAGGACAGGGAACUAUGUGUACAGAUAUUGAGGUACAAAUAAGGUAAGUGUAAUUUAAAAAGAGAAAAUAAGAAAAAGCUCAUUUCUUUUCUGGACAAUACUAACAGUUUGAUGCUGGAAGCUAUCUUAGAAGUUAGGAAAUUCAACCAGGGUCCUCAGAGAGCAGACUGGAAGUCAGGAUGUGGGGAUGAGACACGGGGCUGGCAGACAGCAAGGGUGACAGUGCUUGUGCUUACUCCGCUUGUGCCUGCUGUAGCUCAGUUCUGUGACUGCCCUGGCAUUUUCUCAAUUGUGUGGUGAAUUAAUUUGUUUAAGUACUCCUUGUUUAGACCCUCUAUUUAAGACCUUUUUUGAACAUUUUAUGGAAUCUCCUUCCCUUGGAUCUACUUACUACGGAAAGAACAGUCCCUUAUUUUCUCAUGAGUUGAUGCCACUCUUGUUUUGGCCGUUCAGAGAUAAUAUGAUGCUGGGUCAGUUUAUAUUUUCCCCUUCUCCAUUCCUGGUGUCUAGCUUGACUCAGGAACUUGAGAUUUGAGAACCAGGCACCAGCCCUGACUAACUGUGACUUUGGGGUUACUGAGCCUCAGUUUCUUGGUGUGUUAAAUGGAAAUAUCAGUACCUUUCCACUUAAUUUAUGGGGCUAUUUUGAGAUAAAAUUUAAUUAUUGUUUAUUUUCUUCUUCUUUUUUUUUUUUCCUAAGAUGGCAUCUCAAUGUGUUACCCAGGCUGGUCUUGAACUCCUGGACUCAAUCCUCCUACCUUGGCCUCCCAAAGUGCUGGGAUUAUAGGUGUGAGUCAUCCUGUCUGGCCUAUUUUCUGAGGACUGAUUUUGUAUUUUAUUAUUAUUAUUUUAGGACCACAUAACUCUGUUUAGAAAAUGUUUCUAAUGUAUUGAGUGCUUCAAAGGUAUAUUAGUUCGAUUUCACACUGCUAUAAGGAAUUGCCUGAGGCUGAGUAAUAUAUAAAAUAAACAGGUUUAAUUGACUCAGUUCCAUAUAACUGGGGAGGCCGCAGGAAACUUACAAUCAUGGCUGAAGGUGAAGGGGAAGCAAGGCACAUCUUACUUGUUGGCAGGAGAGAGAGAGUGCAGGGGAAACUGCCACUUUUUCUUUUUUUUUUUUGGAGACAGAGUCUCACUCUGUUGCCCAGGCUGGAGUGCAGUGGCGCAAUCUUGGCUCACUGCAAGCUUGGCCUCCCGGGUUCACGUCAUUCUCCUGCCUCAGCAUCCCGAGUAGCUGGGACUACAGGCGCCCGCCACUACGCCUGGCUAAUUUUUUGUAUUUUUAGUAGAGACGAGGUUUCACGUGUUAGUCAGGAUGGUCUCGAUCUUCUGCCCUCAGGUAAUCCACCCGCCUUGGCCUCCCAAAGUGCUGGGAUUACAGGUGUGAGCCACCAUGCCCAGCCAGAAACUGCCACUUUUAAACCAUCAGAUCUCAUUGAGAACUCCCUCACUAUCACGAGAACCGCAUGAGGGAAACCACCCCCAUGAUCUGAUCACCUCCCACCAGGUCCUGCCCUCAACAUGUGGGGAUUACAAUUCAAGAUGAGAUUUGGGUCAGGAAACAGAGCCAAACCAUAUCAAGAGCCUCUGGUAACCACUGUUCUACUCAAUACUUCUAUGAGGUGAACUUCUUUGGAUUCCACAUAUGAUCAAGAUCAUGAGGAAGGAGGAGCAAGUCUUCUUUGUCAUGCUAUUAAGAAAAUACCCAGAGUCACAGCACCAUGAUCUCCUUGUGAAGCAGAACAAGUAAUAUAAAACUGAUCUAAAGAGGCCUCCCCUCUACUCUUAUCUGUCUGGUCGAGUCAUUUGGGUCCAAGUGGGCACCAUUGUGGGAGGGUGGGAGGACUCAUCACUGGGGGCCCAGGCAUCAUUGGCAUGUGGCCUCCUGUGUUAGUUUGUUCUCAUGCUGCAAAUAAAGACAACUUGAGACUGGAUAAUUUAUAAAGGAAAGAGGUUUAAUGGACUCACAGUUCCACAUGGCUAAGGAGUACUCACAAUCAUGGCGGAAGACAAAGGAAGAGCAAAGGGACAUCUUACAUGGCAGCAGGCAAGAGAGCGUGUGCAGGGGAAGUCCCCUUUAUAAAACCAUCAGAUCUCAUGAGACUUAUUCACUAUCGCGAGAACAGCAUGAGAAAAACCCACCCCCAUGAUUCAAUUACCUCCCACCGUGUCCCUCCCAUGUCAUGUGAAGAUUAUUACAACUCAAGGUGAGAUCUGAGUGGGGACACAGAGCCAAAUGAUAUCACCUCCAAUGGGCAGCCUCAUUCCAGGAGCACAUCCCAUUGGCAUCAUCCAGGAGGAGGGGGGGGCCAUCAUUGGCAUCAUGGGAGGGCCCCCCAGCUGGGGUGCUGGCAUCAUACCUGGUGAGGAACAGGAAGAGACUGGGGGGAGGUUGGAUCAUCGCUCCUGCAGGAGGAGGAACAGAGAACAGAGUAGGAGGUGUUCUUCCUUGUUGAGAUGCAGUCUUUGUUCUGUCAGCCAGGCUCCGAGCCUGCUCUUCUAUCCAUUUCUGGUAGUAGUCUUUCACAUUCUCUUUGUGUUUCCUUCCACUGCAAUGGUAGGUUCUCACAGAUGGAGAGUCGUGGGUGAGGUAUGUAUUGCAGAAGUCACAACAAAACUUAGGCAUGUUGCUCUGUAGCCCGUUAACCACUCUCUUCCCUGAUUUUGCUUUGUUUUGAUGUGACAUUGAAGCACUGCACAUGCGCAGAGCAGCUAAUAGUUCUUCCCUCUUUGGAUUGUUGGAUGAAAUUUUUUUGAAUUUUAUUUUUUAUUGAUACAUAAUAGAUAUAUGUGUUUUGGGGGUACAUAUGAUAAUUUAAUAUAUUUAUAUAACUUGUUAAGAACAAAUCAGUGUAAUUGGGACAGCCACCACCUUAAAUACUUGUCCUUCCUUUUUGCUGGAAACAUUUGUAUUAUUCUCUUAGCUAUUUUGAAAUAUACAAUAGGUUAUUCUAAACUAUAAUCACCCUAGUGAUCUAUGAAACACUACGUCUUAUUUCU